rnacentral:rRNA from 1 species
UACAGAGGGUGCGAGCGUUGUCCGGAAUCACUGGGCGUAAAGGGCGCGUAGGCGGCCCGAUAAGUAGGGGGUGAAAUCCUGCGGCUUAACUGCAGGGCUGCCUCCUAGACUGUCAGGCUCGAGCACGGUAGAGGCAGAUGGAAUUCCCGGUGUAGCGGUGGAAUGCGUAGAGAUCGGGAAGAACAUCGGUGGCGAAGGCGGUGGGCUGGGCCGGAACUGACGCUGAGGAGCGAAAGCGUGGGGAGCGAACAGG